CGGGCCGUCCGACCCGUCGCUGCGUGCGGGGUUCUCCCCGUUCGUAGAGCAAAGUCCGGACUCGCAGCAGAGGCCGCUCGGGCCAACAACCCGAGGGGCGGGGGUCGCAAGCCCCCCGCCACGUCAAGUGCAACAGAGAGCAGACCAGCCGAUGGAUCGGGUCUCCCGGUCACAGGUGAUGGGUGAAAGGGUGGGGUAAGAGCCCACCGGCGGUAUCCCGAAAGGGACCGGCCAGGUAAACCACCGGUGCGAGCAAGCCAAAAACGUCUGGUCUCCAGGCAGGUAGGCGCAGCUCCGCAAGGAGCCCGGGGCGAAAGCCCUCGGAGAUGGAUGGCGGGAUAAAGCAGAAUCCGGCUUACGGGACGGCCCGGCCU
rnacentral:RNase_P_RNA from 2 species